rnacentral:rRNA from 1 species
AUGAACGCUAGCGAUAGGCUUAACACAUGCAAGUCGAGGGGGCAUCACAUGAGUAGCAAUACGAUGGUGGCGACCGGCGCACGGGUGAGUAACACGUAUGCAACCUACCCAUGACAGAGGGAUAACCCGUCGAAAGGCGGACUAAUACCGCAUAAUAACAGUAUACUGCAUGGUAUAUUGUUCAAAGAUUUAUCGGUCAUGGAUGGGCAUGCGUUCCAUUAGGUAGUUGGCGGGGCAACGGCCCACCAAGCCUACGAUGGAUAGGGGUUCUGAGAGGAAGGUCCCCCACACUGGUACUGAGACACGGACCAGACUCCUACGGGAGGCAGCAGUGAGGAAUAUUGGUCAAUGGGCGAGAGCCUGAACCAGCCAAGUCGCGUGAAGGAAGAAGGAUCUAUGGUUCGUAAACUUCUUUUGCAGGGGAAUAAAGUGCAGGACGUGUCCUGUUUUGUAUGUACCCUGAGAAUAAGGAUCGGCUAACUCCGUG